CCAAACCUUUAUUGAAGCUCAAACUACGGGGGUGAGAAGGGUGGGGAGGGGCAGACCCCCAAAGUGGGGCUAAAAACCCCCACGUGGGGCCAAAGCCGCGCCGUGGGGCUCAGCCCCCACCCCUGUCCCCCUAUAACGGAACUGCGGUCCCCCAUUGCCUUGUGGGGGAGUGAUCCCCUCCCGAAGAAACAGAGUCCCAAUGGAUGCGGUGUGGUCCUGCAGGGAGGCUGUCCCGUCACUCCUCCUUUUUGUCUCGGGGGCCAUCGUGGGCUGCCUGCAGCCGUGCGUGCUGCUCCAGCAGCCGGUCAUACUCCCGUGUCAGCCCCUCUGCCUGCCGCCGCAUGGCCUGCACCUCAUUCUCCGCCUUCUCCAGAGUGCGCUUGCUGGCUGCCAGCUCCUCCUUCAGUUUCUCCACUUUUGCCUUCAGGCUCUCAUUCUCGGCCCGGCUAGGGGGGGCCGUGUCCUCUCCUGCCUCUUGCAGCUGCUUGCGCAAGGCCUCAUUGUCCUCCAUGUAGCGCCGUGCUGCCUGGCUCGCCCCCUCCGCCUGCUUGCGGAACGCUUGGCUGGAGGCCCCGAGCAGCGCUUGCUGCGAGAUCAGGGUGACCAAACGCCGCAGCAGGAAGGAGAGCAGCAGAGCAAAGCCAGCCAAGUAGAGGUUGCGUUGGGCGCGGAACAGCCGCAUGUGGAAGUGCUCCAAAGCCCCCGGGGUGGUGGGGAGCGCUGCCCGCUCAGAGGCGUUGUACUUACGGGUCUCCCUAUAGGCAUCCAGCAGGAGCAGGACGAGGAUGACGAUGAGCACCACGAAGGCUGUGUUGCCGUAGGCCACCGCCAGCCCCACCAGGCGCGACUUGAAGAUCUUCUGCCAUCUGGUGGGGGACACGAAGGGGACGCAGAGCAGGAGGACGAGGAAGACCUCAGCGUAGAGGAAGGUGGCGACGACCGUCCACUGCAGACUCAUGGCGUCCCGCCGGCCUCUCCCG
rnacentral:lncRNA from 1 species